CAGGGCUCCAAGAUCACACUCUGGACUGAACGCGGCGCUAAACGGCUGAGCCACCCAGGCUGCUGCCCCUGCCUGCCUGUCCUCACCCACGGAGCAGUUGCUGGUUCCAGUUAUCGUCCCUUAGAGACAAGGGGCCAAGUUUCCCAGGCUCCCUGUCUUUGGGGUUAAUAGUUGAAGAAGGUGAGGCAUGAAGGGGACCAGCAGCUGACCCAAGGCUACGCGGGAGUGGCGGACAGAGGAUCGGAAGACAGGAGGUGUGGUCUGGGGUUUGCCCAGUUGACUCUACCUGGUUACUCUGGAGACAGAGACUGCAGAUGAGCCGACUUCCAGGUCAGCACGCACAGAGUUUUCUCUUUGCUGUCAGCAGCUGCCCGAUGCUUCGCCGGCUGGAGAUGUGCCACGCUCAUUUCAUCAGUCUCCUGACAACGGAUACGCAGGUCACUUCCAAUUUCUCCAUCUCAUGACCAACAUGCAGCAGCCUUCUGGGGCCGCUACCUCUGCCUGUUUCUGGGGAAGGGAUGUUUCCCAUGCGGUGGGGCUGGAGCUUGCAGUCUGAGCUGAGCCCUAGCCAGUGGGAAGAUAGAGUCCUCGGGAGAAAUAGAGGGUAGUGCCAGAAACGUUUCACCUGGAACAUGCAGGCGGAGGGUGAGAGCAUGGAGGGCACAGAGGGGAGCAGCGUCAGGCAGGUGAGGAGGCCGGCUCUGGGCUGGGGGCAGGUGCAGGCAGCACGACAAGGUCACGAGAGCUCUGGAUCUCAACCUGGGCAGGUGGCCAGUGAGAGAGAAGAGCAGCUCAAGUGCAGGGAGGGCUGCCCCCUCCGGCGUGUCCACAUGGACACCAGACAUCAGGGAGGUCGCUGCCUUAGCUCCCAGUAGCUGCGGUAACAAGUAACCACAAAGUUAGUGGCUUAAAACCACACACAUUCAUCACAUUCCAGUUCUGCACGUUAGAUGUGCCAUUGGGGGUGGGGGUAUCUCACUGGGUUAAAAUCAGUUAAGGAGUCAGGGCUCAUUCCUUUCUGGAGGCCCCAGGGGAGAAUCUGCUCCCUGGCCUUCUACAGCUUCUAGAGGUGCCUCGCUCCUUGGCUUGUGGCCCCUUUGCUAUCUUCAAAGCCAGAGGCAGAGCACCUCCCAACCUCUCCGAAUCCAACAGCUUCCAGGAAUUAGGGUGCAGACAGACAUCUUUGGGGGCCAUUCAUCAUUCUGCCUGCCACCAUGUCCCUUUAAUUAAGUUGGGAGCCAUACAUCUGAGACAAUAAAAGAGUUUUUAGGGGGAUCCCUGGGUGGCUCAGCGGUUUGGCGCCUGCCUUUGGCCCAGGGCGCGAUCCUGGAGUCCCAGG